rnacentral:rRNA from 1 species
CAGCCGCCGCGGUAAUCCCGGCGGCCCGAGUGGCGGUCACUAUUAUUGGGCUUAAAGCGUCCGUAGCCGGGUUGGGAAGUCCUCCGGGAAAUCUGGCCGCUUAACGGUCAGAAUGCCGGAGGAUACUCCCAGCCUAGGGAGCGGGGGAGGCCGAGGGUAUUCCCGGAGUAGGGGUGAAAUCCUAUAAUCCCGGGAGGACCACCUGUGGCGAAGGCGCUCGGCUGGAACGCGUCCGACGGUGAGGGACGAAGGCCAGGGGAGCAAACCGGAUUAGAUACCCGGGUAGUCCUGGCGGUAAACGAUGCGGACUUUGUGUCGGACAAGCUAUGAGCUUGUCCGGUGCCGGAGAGAAACCGUUAAGUCCGCCGCCUGGGGAGUACGGCCGCAAGGCUGAAACUUAAAGGAAUUGGCGGG